GGAUGUGAGCGCGAUCUGGCUGUGAUAUCUGUCAGUCCAUUGAUCGCCAGGGUUGAUUUGGCUGAUCUAGCUGGCUAAGUGGGUGUCCCCUUCCUCCCUCACCGCUCCAUGUGCGUCCCUUCUGAAGCUUUGUGCUCAGUGGAAGAGGAUGACCUUCCCCGGUAGAGGAGGACCAUUCUUCACUCAAGUGUACAUGAGUAGCUGUGCUCCCCUCCUAGAACCUCCAAACGAGCUCUCAAGGUCCAUUUGUAGGAGAAUGUAGGGUAGUCAAGCUUCCAAGACUCCAGACACAUCCAAAUGAGGCGCUGCAUGUGGUAGUCUGCCUUCCUUU
rnacentral:snRNA from 1 species